rnacentral:rRNA from 1 species
GAUGAACGCUGGCGGCAUGCCUAACACAUGCGAGUCGAUCGGUAAGGCUCUUCGGAGUACACGAGAGGCGGACGGCUGAGUAACGCGUAGGAACACACCCUGCAGUGAGGGAUAAGACACCGAAAGGUGUUCUAAUACCGCAUACGGUCUUCGGAUUAAAGCAUUUAUGCGCUGAAGGAGUGGCCUGCGUCAUAUUAGAUAGUUGGUGAGGUAAUGGCUCACCAAGUCGAUGAUGUGUAGCUGGUCCGAGAGGAUGAUCAGCCAGACUGGAACUGAGACACGGUCCAGACUCCUACGGGAGGCAGCAGUGAGGAAUAUUUCACAAUGAGCGAAAGCUUGAUGGAGCAAUGCCGCGUGCAGGAUGAAGGCCCUCGGGUUGUAAACUGCUUUUAUAAGAGAAGAUUAUGACGGUAACUUAUGAAUAAGGGACGGCUAACUACGUG